UUUUAUUUAACUCCUUAUUUCGUUCUCCAGCCGAGGGUCUAUCAGAAUCAUACUCUCUGUCCUUCUAGGUAGGGGUAAGACUGCGUAUAUCUCACCCUCCCCAGAUUCCACUUUUGAAAAAAUAUUAGGCUUCUUGUUGUUAUUGUUGUUGUUGAAUUCUAUCAACUAAUUAUUAUUUCGCUAAUGAAUUUUGCUUUCAUCUAGCUUAUCAGGCAUACUGAUUCACAAAAUAAUCUUGCCUAAUUAUAUCAAGAUGUUAAGUGAAGAAACUAAGUGGGCGCUUGGACAUAAGAAUCGUAAAAUUUCGAAAUAAAGUAAUUUUUUUUAAAGUGAAAAUGAUAUUUGAAAAUUAGAGUUGUGUUUGGACAUGAAUAUAAUUUUGGGUUAUUUUUUAAUUUUUGUGAGUGAACUUAGUGAAGAUUUUGGAAAAAUAACUUUUUGGAGUUUUUAAAAAUUUUAAAAAAAUUCAAAAUUCAUCUUCAAAUAAAAAUUGAAAAUUUUAUAAUCAAAUAUUGAUUUCGAAAAAAAUUGAAAAACUUUUCAUGGCCAAACGGGCUUUAAAUUUAAGGCUGGGAAUGUUAAGUUCGCGAGCGAUAUCAGCCACCCAAUCGGGGAGGAAAUCAGCAAUGACCAAUCAGGUUUUUUUUUUAAUGUUUGUUUGAAGUGCGUGGUAAGUUAUCCCUAUAUGUAUGAAGUCAUGUUCUUGUUAGCUGCUGUUAAAGGGACACACACACACACACAUAUAUAUAUAUAUAUAUAUAUAUAAAAGACAAACAAUUUAUGUGGCUGAAACACAUAAAAUUGUUACUAUUAUAUACUCCUUAUGCCUUCUAGCCCUAUUUACCCAUCACUUUGACCUUUUUCACGUCCUUUUAAAAGUGUUAAUAAUUAAAGUUGUAUUUGAUUAGAUUUCCCUAUUUUAUUCUUUGAUCUCUCAAUCUCUUUAAGUCUGUCCUAGAAGAUUAAUUAGAAUAGUAAGGGUAAAUUUUGGAAUUAAUAUCCAAUUAUUUCUUAUUUAGAUAAAACUACUUUUAACAAAUGUGACAAAUAAAUAGGACCCGGGGGCAAUAAAUACACUUGUUUUAGUCCAAAAAGUUUCGUGCAUAGAGGAUUGUGCCAAGUGUGGCUACUACUAAUAGUAUAAAUUCAUGUAGGAAAUAUUGAGUGUUUCAUGUAAAUCCUAAUGUAAAAAAAAAUGGAUUUGGAUCGUGACAUGUUUCUAUAUAUAUAUAUUAAGAAGUAAUUUAAUUUUAAAUUUUUUAUUUAAUCUUUAAUGUGAUAAUUUAUAGUCAUACAAACGUCUAUGGCUUAUUUUAAGAUACUAAGUUUCAAAUAUUUUUCUCUGUUUCUUUGUUUCUGCAACUCGUUAACACCUCUCACAUAGCACCAUUAAAACGUGAAAGUGAAAAUUCAGUUCUUACAGUCCUACUGGUUUCAAAAAAGGACUAUGAAGCAGAUGCUUUAUUCUAUUAGCAAUUAAUCUUUAUAAUAAAUAUUGAUAAACUCCCUCUGCACCAGUUUAUGUAAUUUGUUUUUUUGUCCAUUCAAAAAGAAUCACCCCUCUCUAAAUUUGAAAAUAAUCUAACUUAAAUUUUUAAUUUUAUCCUUUUUAUAGCCACACAAAUUCUCUGAUAUGUUUAACACCACAAAUUUCAAAAGAAUCAUAGCCAUACAAAUAUUACGGCUUGUUUAAGAUCACAAAUUUAAAAAUUUUAUUUCUUUUUUAAACUGUUUGCAGUCAAAUAGAUUCAUAUAAAUUAAAAUGGAGAGAAUAGUAGCUAUCACAAAUAUAAGAAUUCUAAAAGUCUUUCCCUAUUCAUGAUCCAGGUAUUGAAAGUUUGAUUACAGAACACAAUUAUAUGUCCACCAACCACACACAAAAACUACAUGCCCACCAACCUCUUUCCAAUAUUUUUGAAAGAAAAGGGAUGGAGGGUAAUGCACUAAAUGAAUAUUGACAAACUUCACAAAAGGUGGUGGGCUCUCCUUUACGGUACCUACUAGCUACUGUACAUAAAACAAAGAAAAGAGGAGAUAUAUAUAUGGGGACCUCAAAAGAGGAGUGCAUGUGAACUAGUGCACGGAUUAGUGCAUGUGAACUAGUGCACGGAUUAGUGCAUGUGAACUUUCAUGGGCGGCUUCAAGCCAUGUCCCAUGACCCUUGGACGCGCCCGUGGCGUCCUGGUCAGCCUCCCAACGUCUAACGCUACGGUCGGUCCCGUGGUCUCGGCAGCUCCAAAUGACAAGUACGCAUAUGUCGUUGUCGCCCCACCGAUAGCCAUCACCAGUGCCCAGCCACAUGCAGAUACUAAAGACAAAGUUGCUGCCAACGGACUUGCUUCUAUUUUGUAGAAGACUAGGUCCUUUUCAUUGUAAAUAUAGAAUAGUUUUACUGUAUUUUCUUUUAGUAUGCUUCUACAGCUUAUUUAGGUCAAGUCAUGUAACUUUGGUUUAUUUUUUUUAAGCAUUAUUAAGGGGGACCAAGCAAUCAAACUUUCUAGCAAGCAAACAAUUCUCUGUACUGGUGUCUCUCUCCCCGACACCGUGUUAUUUUUCUGUAAUAGUUUUCAUUCAAUACAAUCAAGCUUUCUUUCAUUCUCAAUUCUCUUUUCUGCUCUCUCUCAAUUGCUCAUGACAUUGAUUUUCCCGUACGGCACUGACAAUCUAGUCUAGCGUACGGAGAGGACCUCAGUUGGCGGACAACAACCGUACUGACAUCGGUUGCUUAGCCUUACGUCGCCCUUCCAAGGAAUUUCAGGAAGGUGCUGCAUAAUAGUUGGUAUCAGAGCCUAGGCUCGACAUCGGACGAGGUAUUACAUUACAAUUACCACCAUUUCUGACCAUGGUGAAUUAUGGAGAUCGCAUCACGACCCUUGAGGGGACGGUUGACGCAUUUCGGCCCAUCGUGGAAAUUAUGCCUGACAUAAAGACCAGCCUAGUGCAAAGGUUGGACGACAUGGACCGCAGACUGGUCCAGGCCGAAGUUGACAUAGAAAACAUCAGUCGCGACUCUGAAGGAGACCGGCAAACGGCAGCCACAGAGGCAGCUGAAAGUUUUCUUAAAUUUGAGGCCCUCCAGCAGGAGCGUGCCGAGGAUUUAGCCAAUAGGGAACAAGAGGCAGACAUGGUGACUGCCAUGCAACAAACUAUAGACAACUUGACAGGCCAGCCCACGUUAUCAAUGCUUCUUUACAAGGCCUACUUCGAGGAGGCGGAAACCAAUUUGGGGGUGGUGUUAACCUCGCCCCUAUGGCACAAAAGCUGAAUAUUCCAGAGCCAAAGCCAUACAGUGGAGCUCGGAAUUCCAAAGAAGUGGAAAACUUCAUUUUCGAAAUCGAGCAAUACUUUGAUGUCGUGGGAGGCCUAGAAGAAGCUAAGAAGGUAGCAACUAUUGCCAUGUAUCUUCAGGGCGAUGCUAAAAUCAGGUGGCAGGUGAAAUACGAAGCCAUCAAUGCUGGUGAAGAUGCCCUCGAGACAUGGGCAGAACUGAACGUAGCCAUACGCUUAUAGUUCUUCCCCAAAAAUGUUGAGUACAAUGCCAGGAUAAAGCUACGGGAGCUCCGCCAGACCAAAUCAGUGCGAGAUUACGUGCGGAAAUUCUCUGCGCUCAUGUUGAACAUCCGUGACAUGGGGGACAAAGACAAACUCUUCACCUUCCUGGAAGGGUUGAAACCUUAUGCCCGCAUAGAGUUGCAGAGACAAAGGGUAGACACGUUACCUAAGGCGAUCCAAGCAGCAGAGUGCCUUGGGGAUUAUCAAGUGGAAGCCCGGAAGGAUAGGCCUCAACAGCCUGUCUGAGGAGGAUACAAAGGGGGCCAGCCAAACACUGGUGGCCCUAGCAGAAGUGGAGGAGACCAGAGUGCACCCAAAUCUAAGGCUCCCUCUUCAGGCAGUACUAGUGAUGCAUCUAACAACAAUGAUCGGGGGAGGAAGCCCCCCUCAGGAUACCAUCAUUGCGGUGGACCACAUUGGAAUAAUGAAUGCCCACAUGCACAGAUGAACACCCAUCAAGCUUUUGAGGAUGGGACGGAUGACGACGCCGAUGAUGCGGACCACACCGAACCAAUAGGUGCAUUCGAUACAAUUAUUGGCUCUAUUUCUGAGCCCUUAGCGGGAACCAGUACUGGUAUCCUCAAGAAGAAGGACCCAUGUCCAAUCGCCAAGAAAGGUAAAAAGAAGGCGAAUUAGAGGACUCCUCCUCAUCAAGAGAGGACCUUAAUGUUCGUCGACAUGAAGGUAAAUGGCAAGCCCAUUCAGGCAAUGAUAGACAUGGGUGCUACCCACAACUACUUAGCCUCAAAUCAGGUGGAGCGCCUUGGACUAGUUGUAGGAAAGGGUAAAGGUCGUGUGAAGGCUAUCAACUCACCACCUCAGCCAGUGGGUGGAAUAGCCAAAGAAGUACCAGUGAAGCUUGGCCCUUAUGAAGGAAAGUUCAACCUGCACGUAGUGAUCAUAGAUGACUUCGAGUUAAUAGUAGGGUUAGAAUUCCUAAGAUAGACCAACACCAUGACCGCACCGUAUGCAGACAUGCUACUGAUGAUGUGAGCAAAUGGGGCCAAGCCCUGCAUCAUUCCAUGCAUGCCCAUGAAAAUGGCCGCCAAGAACAUCUCGGCCCUGCAGUUGAAGAAGGGGGUCAAAAGACAUGAACCCACGUUCCUGGCUACCCUUUGCAUGGAAGAUAUAGAAUGCUCCUCGGGUCCCAUUCCUGCACCCGUGAAGGAGCUGCUACUGGAAUUUGAAGACAUAAUGCCAAAGUACAUGCCAAAGAGACUCCCGCCUAGGAACAUUGUGGACCAUAAGAUUGAGUUGGUGUCGGGUGCGAAGCCACCUGCCCGGGCGCCAAACAGAAUGUCACAACCCGAGCUCACCGAGCUUUGGAGAUAAUUGACGGAGAUGUUAGACACAGGGAUCACCGUUCCCUCCAAGUCCCCAUACAGGUCCCCUGUGCUAUUCCAAAAGAAACAUGAUGGCAGUUUACGACUAUGUAUGGAUUAUAUGGCUCUGAACAAAAUCACCGUGAAGAACAAGUACCCUAUUCCGCUAAUGGCGGAUUUGUUCGACAUCCUAGGUGGUGCGACGGUAUUCACCAAAAUAGACCUGAGGAUGGGUUAUUGGCAAGUUCGUAUUGUAGAGGGUGAUGAACACAAGACGACCUGCGUGGCGAGAUAUGGGUCGUUCGACUUCCUGGUUAUGCCAUUCGGCUUGACUAAUGCGCCAGCCCCAUUUUGCACCCUAAUGAACCAAAUCUUCCGGGAAUACAUUGCCAAAUUCGUCAUGGUCUAUUUGGAUGAUAUUGUGGUAUAUAGCCAGACAUUGGAAGAACACCUGGAGCAUUUGCGGAAGGUCCUAGCCCGAUUGUGGGAGCACGAACUAUAUGCGAAGCUAUUCAAGUGCUCCUUUGCUCAGAAACAAAUUGACUUCCUCGGAUAUGUCAUCGAGGAAGGGCGGAUCAAGAUGGACCAACAGAAUAUUCAGGCCAUCACAGAAUGGCCGCCGCCUAAGGAUAUCCACGCCUUGAGUUCGUUCCUUGGCCUAUGCAACUUCUAUCGGCGUUUUGUGAAAAGUUACUCCCUCAUUGCAGUGCCGUUGGCAGAACUUCGCAAAAAGAUCACACCCUGGGAUUGGGGUCCCAAGCGAGUAGAGGCCUUCAAUGCAUUGAAAAUGGCCAUGUCCAGUAGCCCCCUUUUGGCCCUCCCUGACUUGGCCAAGCCAUUCGAGGUACAAACGGAUGCCUCCGACUAUGCACUUGGUGGAGUCUUACUACAAGAAGGGCAUCCCGUAGCAUACGAGAGCCGAAAACUGAAAGAUGCGGAGCGGCGCUAUGCCGCCCACGAAAAAGAAUUAUUGGUUGUCGUUCAUUGCUUAUGCUUUUGGAGGCAUUAUCUACUGGGAACCCCAUUCAUGGUCAAGACAGACAACACAGUUGUUAGCCAUUUCAUGACCCAGCUAAAGCUGAAUAGUCGACAGGCUAGGUGCCAGGAACUCCUAGUAGAAUUUCACUUCAACCUGGAGUACCGAAGUGGGAAGACUAAUCAUGCUGCUGAUGCACUCAGUCGGAGGGCUAAUCUAGCAUCGGUGUGCAUACUCGCUGCCCUAAAGGGAAGCGAAGUAACAACCACCAUAAAAUACCAGAUACAGGAUCUACUCAUCAAGGAUCCCUCUGCACAGUAUUUGGUUGAUUUGGUAGGACAGGGCAAGAUUCACCAGUUCUACACAGAAGAUGGUUUCCUGAAAGUGAAAGGGAACCGACUUUAUGUUCCUAAAGGAGGGGAUACGCGAAGGACUCUUUUGGCGGAAUGCCACGAUACUUUGUGGGCCAAUCAUCCCGGUGAGUAACGCACCAUGGCAUUGCUUCACCGUGUAUAUUAUUGGCCUCAAAUGGUCGACGAUGUCACUCAGUAUGUGAAGACUUGUCUAGUAUGCCAGAAGGACAAGUCAGACCGCCUGACGCAGGCAGGACUCUUGGAACCACUAGCUGUCCCAAAAAGACCUUGGGAAAGCGUUUCCUUGGACUUUAUCACCAGAUUGCCCAAGGUCGAAGAUCUCACAACCAUCUUGGUUGUGGUUGAUCAGUUUUCUAAGUAUGCCACCUUUAUAGCAUCCCCACAAUAUAUAUCAACAGAAGAUACAACUCGACUCUUCUUCUCUCAUGUCAUCAAGUAUGCCACCUUUAUCGCGACUCACGCUUCACUAGCAACUUUUGUCCCAACUCUUUAAGUGCCUCGGGUCAAAAUUGAGUCAUAGCUCAAGUUUUCAUCCGCAAUCUGAUGGUUAGACUGAGCGAUUCAAUGGAAUGAUAGAGGAAUAUCUCCGGUACUUUGUAACCGGAUCGCAAAAGAACUGGAUGAAGCUUUUGGAUGCUGCUCAACUGUGUUUCAAUUCACAAAAGAGCUCAAGUACCAACAAAAGUGCUUUUGAAAUUGUUACCGGACAACAACCGCUACUCCCACAUACUGUGAACGCACCAAACAUGUCAAAAUCUCCUCGGGCUGCUAGCUUCUCAAAAGAAUGGAAGCAAAAUUUGGAGAUAGUGCGGAGCUAUCUUGUCAAAGCCCAAAAGCGGAUGAAGAGGCAUGCUGAUCGGAAUCGCCGCUUUGUUGAAUAUCAAGUGGGAGACAAGGUGAUGGUCAAAAUCCCAAAGCGGUACUUAUUUGCAGAGGUCUAUGACCCUCGCCUAUUGCAAAAAUACAUUGGACCUUUGUCCAUUGAAAAGCACAUUGGAAAAGUUGCAUACCGGGUGGAUACCCCAGUUUGGUGGAAAAUCCAUCCUGUUUUCCAUGUCAGUCUCCUGAAACCUUUUAGGGAAGUUAUGGAGGAUCCUUCACGAAGCCAACUCACAAUACCAAGCAUUCGAGGCCCCAAUUCAACCGGGAAAAGGCGUGCUGAAGCUAUUCUUGAUGACAGAGUGAUUCACGCCUCAAGGAAAGAUCACCAAGAGUUCUUAGUGAAAUGGCAGGGAUAUGAUGCAGAGGAGAAUACCUGGGAGAGGGGAACAAACCUCAAAGCCUACAAGGGCCUACUUGAUGAUUAUCUUGCAAGGAAGGCACCGAGGACGUCGCCAACUCAGGUGGGGGAGAAUGUCAUGGGCGGCUUUCCAGCCAUCCCCCAUGACCCCUUGGACGCUCCCCGUGGCGUCCUGGCAAGCCUCCCAACGCCUAACGCCAUAGUCGUCCCCGUGGUCUCGGCAGCUCUAAGUGACAAGCACGCAUUUGCCGUUGUCGCCCCACCGAUAGCCAUCACCAGUGCCCAGCCACAAGCAGAUACUAAAGACAAAGUUGAUGCCAACAGACUUGCUUCUAUUUUGUAGAAGACUAGGUCCUUUUCAUUGUAAAUAUAGAAUAGUUUUACUGCAUUUUCUUUUAGUAUGCUUCUACAUCUUAUUUAGGUCAAGUCAUGUAACUUUGGUUUAUUUUUUUUAAGCAUUAUUAAGGGGGACCAAGCAAUCAAACUUUCUAGCAAGCAAACAAUUCUCUGUACUGGUGUCUCU
rnacentral:lncRNA from 1 species